GAUGAACGCUGGCGGCGUGCCUAAUACAUGCAAGUCGAGCGAAUGGAUUAAGAGCUUGCUCUUAUGAAGUUAGCGGCGGACGGGUGAGUAACACGUGGGUAACCUGCCCAUAAGACUGGGAUAACUCCGGGAAACCGGGGCUAAUACCGGAUAACAUUUUGAACCGCAUGGUUCGAAAUUGAAAGGCGGCUUCGGCUGUCACUUAUGGAUGGACCCGCGUCGAAUUAGCUGGUGGGUGAGGUAACGGCACACCAAGGCAACGAUGCGUAGCCGACCUGGAAGGGACAUCGGACACAAGGGGACUGAAACACGGCCCAGACUCAUACGGGAGGCAGCAGUAGGGAAUCUUCCGCAAUGGACGAAAGUCUGACGGAGCAACACCGCGUGAGUGAUGAAGGCUUUCGGGUCGUAAAACUCUGUUGUUAGGGAAGAACAAGUGCUAGUUGAAUAAGCUGGCACCUUGACGGUACCUAACCAGAAAGCCACGGCUAACUACGUGCCAGCCGCCGCCGUAA
rnacentral:rRNA from 1 species